rnacentral:rRNA from 1 species
AUUAGACGAAUCAUCUGGAAAGAUGAAUCAAAGAAGGUAAUAAUCCUGUAGUCGAAAAUGUUGUCUCUCUUGAGUGGAUCCUGAGUACGACGGAGCACGUGAAAUUCCGUCGGAAUCUGGGAGGACCAUCUCCUAAGGCUAAAUACUCUCUAGUGACCGAUAGUGAACCAGUACCGUGAGGGAAAGGUGAAAAGCACCCCGGAAGGGGAGUGAAAUAGAACCUGAAACCGUGUGCUUACAAGUAGUCAGAGCCCGUUAAUGGGUGAUGGCGUGCCUUUUGUAGAAUGAACCGGCGAGUUACGAUUUGAUGCAAGGUUAAGCAGUAAAUGUGGAGCCGUAGC